rnacentral:rRNA from 1 species
CGGGUGCGUAACACGUGAGCAACCUUCCGAAAUAUGGGGGAUAGCCGGCCUAACGGCCGAGUAAUACCGCAUACGCUCUCGAUGAGGCAUUUCAUUGAGAGGAAACCUCCGGGGUAUUUCGAGGGGCUCGCGGCCUAUCAGCUAGUUGGCGAGGUAACGGUUCACCAAGGCAACGACGGGUAGCUGGUCUGAGAGGAUGGCCAGCCACAUUGGGACUGAGAUACGGCCCAG